UCAGAAAAAGAGGGCGGAAAAAAAAAAUCGGGCAAAGGAACCGGAUGUUGUCCUUGAGGACGGAAGUAAUCCCUAAAGCGCAAGUCAGAGGAGGGGCUUCCAAUAUGAGUUAUUGCUAGGCCCCGCGAGAGCCCUAUGCUCUUCGUCCCUUCCCCGGGAAUGAUCCGGAAGAUCCCUUCUUAGGGAAGAGCAGAUAUUAUUAUUGUUUUAGGUCAGAAAACCAAGACUCAGAAAGCUUGAAGUUACUUGCCUGUGGCCAUAAAACUAGCAUGGGGUAAGUAAAACUUUUACCUGGUAGUCCAAUGUUAUGUCUCUUGCCUCCAAAGGCCAGACUGUUCACUGUUACUCUGCCUCUUACACUAGUUACUUGUUUGAUUGAUCUUCCCCACUAAACUGUGUGCCUUUGUCCAUCUUUAUCUUGGCUGUUGCCAGCACUGGGCCUUGAAUGAGGAAAUGGAGAAAUCCUGGCUUAGGAAUCAAGGCCUGGAUUCUACUUACUACUCUUUCCUUGGAACUUAGCCAAGAUACUUCCCUUGCUUGAAACCUAUGCAUAGAGUUGAACUCGAUGAUCUUGUCUACUGAAUGAGUUGAAAUAGGCCUCAAAGAUCAUCUAUGCCUGAACAGGAAUCCAUAAAAGGAUCAUCCUCCACUAGACUUUCAAACGCUGAAGGAACUCACUUCUCAUGACAGUCCAUUCCCUUUUUGUUAAUGAUAGUUGUGUUUUACUUCCAAAAUCUGCACCUUUUAACUUCCAUUACCCCCAGUCCUGACCUUUAGAACCAUAAGAAAUAAUCAAAUCCUUCUCCUAUAUAAAAAACCGGUUGUAGAACUAUUAUGCCAUAACCCCUAAACCCCUUUUUUCUUUUCCCCAAAUUAAAUAUGCAUAGUCCUUUCAAUUGAAGAAUUUCAAUUUCUAGUAUCACCAUUCUGGUUACUCUUCUGAUUGGUCUCCAUUUGUAAAUGCCUAUCAAAACAUCCCAAAUAUGUGCUGGAUUGUAGAGAAAAUACUCAGUAUAUGAUUCUGAGAGAUGUGUGAAACAUAGUAAAAAUAUAACAAAUAUGUACGGACUUAUACUUGGCAAAAGGAAACCCAAAGUUUUCUUUUGGGCCGAGCUUUUCUUGGAUUCUGGAUCAUAGAACACAGAUGACUUGUAGUAAACAUUGGUCCAGGAUUGACUUUAAAUGUGGGGCAAAUUUACAUUGGGGUAAAGGAGCUUAUUGACUUAAAAAAAUCAGGAAACCCUCUUCUAUAUAGUAUCCCUUAAGGACUGUAAAUUUUAGAACAUAUUCUAAAGUAGAAUCUGUGUAGUAGAACCCAGAGAUUAAGGGGCUUGCUAUGGAGGAGUGCUUUUCAAUAUACUAUCAUAGUAUUGAUAGCCAGAAGGAACUUCAGAUCAUAAAACCCAUCCUCAACAUAGAUUAGACCAAUGAUCUCCAAGGUCUCUCCCAGACAUAAUUUUCUAUUGCUCUUUAAGAGCCUUAUUAUCCAAGACUACACAGCUAGUAAGUGACAGGGUCAAACAGCUUACAAAUCCACCACUUUUCACUACCAUAUCAAGCUGCUGCUUCUUCAUUUUUGGGCAGAAAAAACACCUGAUUGAAGCCUGGCUCUUCUAUUCCCAUGUACUAUUGCCAACACAGAGAGAACAGAUUGGAAACUGGUUCCAAGCAAGACCCAUGCUAAGGAAGGAAAACUAACAAGAAUUCUACCAUGAUAUCCUGAAUGAAAUGAACCAGUGUCAAUCAUAGUUCUUUGAAAAAACAACCUCCCCUCCCCCCCCAAAUAUCGUAGGGAUAUCUAACCACAGUGAUCGAGAACAAUCUUGAUAUUGGAAGGGGGAGAGAAUUUUAGGGCAUGACCAACAGAUGAGUACUUCUGAGAACCCACCUUGACAUCUAUGCUUGAAUCAGUGCCAAGAGCAAAUUAACACGAUCAGGAACAUCUCUCAGAUAGACAACAAUAAGUUCUGGAGUUCCCAAAAAACAGUUCCCAAUUGUGAUACACAUCAAUAUUCCCACUGAGAAUCUUGCUCUUGGGGAAGGGGAGGAGAUUUGGCUGGCGAAGUGAAUAUGUACAUUUACACAUACCCUUAGGGAGAUGAUACACUCUUCUCCAGUGAUCUAGUUAAUUUAUAGUUUGUAUUUAAAGCUAAAAACCAUCCUGUUCCCUAUUUACAACCCUCUCCCACCCCCACCCCUUCACAGGAGGUUAAUAGAGAUGAUUCAAGGCAAAUAUUGGCUCUUCUUGCUUGGACAAGACAGCACAAACCUACAGAAAGACCCAAGCGACCCAUCAAAGGCAAAUCAUUAAGUUAAAGUUACCCCUGGCCCAUCACAGGCAUCAGACUCCUUGUUAAAUAGUUGUUUAUUGGAAAAAGUGGGCUGAGGAGGGGUCACUAGAUUCACCAGAGAGCAACAACACCGCACAAGUUAGGAGUGAUGGGAGAGGUCAGCACAAAGCUCUAGGAUCUCAGCCUCUUCCUGGACUGUGAGGGAUGGCCUGGAGUGUUAGGGCAUACCCAGGUGGAAGGCCUUGACUUAGUUAGUAGGCAUGGUUAGAGA